AACGAACGCUGGCGGCAUGCCUAACACAUGCAAGUCGAACGAGACCUUCGAGUCUAGUGGCCCACGGGUGCGUAACGCGUGGGAACCUGCCCUUAGGUUCGGAAUAACUCCCCGAAAGGGGUGCUAAUACCGGAUAAUGUCUUCGGACCAAAGAUUUAUCGCCUUUGGUUGGGCCCGCGUUGGAUUAGCUAGUUGGUAGGGUAAAAGCCUACCAAGGCGACGAUCCAUAGCUGGUCUGAGAGGAUGAUCAGCCACACUGGGACUGAGACACGGCCCAGACUCCUACGGGAGGGAGGAGUGGGGAAUAUUGGACAAUGGGCGAAAGCCUGAUCCAGCAAUGCCGCGUGAGUGAUGAAGGCCUUAGGGUUGUAAAGCUCUUUUACCCGGGAUGAUAAUGACAGUACCGGGAGAAUAAGCUCCGGCUAACUCCGUG
rnacentral:rRNA from 1 species